rnacentral:lncRNA from 1 species
GAAAAUUGACGGGAGCACGCCAGAGGAACUCAGGAUGAAGUGAAGAGCCUGCAGUAGGGAGAUCUAGAAGCAUCGGAGCCAUAAAGAGGAUGAAAUGACAGCCGACCUCUCACGGAGUGCUGAUGACUGAAAGGAAGUGAGUUAAGACUGUCCUCUGUUUGCCACGCCCAUGCCACUGGGACCAGGAACUGUGCAAGUUCUGUGUAAGUUGUACAUCUGAAGGAGACAUUUCACUUCUGGGUGCCACCGUUGCAGGUUGACAGGUACACUGGAUAAUAAUGAGGUGGACCACUCAGAACUGAGCCACACUGUGUGUGACACAGAAGUCAUUAAUGAAGUGAAGAUGUUUAGCCAGGACUGCUGCAGAGACUCCAGAAAUAAGAGUUAUCUUCAAAGACUUGACAGCGGUCACUAGAGAAUAAAAUUAAACUUUUUACAAGAUGACAGAACUAUCUUCUUAAAGAACACGGAAACAAUCUGAGUUACAUUCAGGCCUCUUGAUACUAAAACCUUCUGAAACAUCAGAAGCAUCAAAAUGUUCCCCUGUGGAACUGUAAGUAUAGCUUCAUUUGGUCUCAGGUUGAGCCAUUACCUUUAAGGAGGUUCUAUUUAUUACUGCCAACUUCAGUCAUCUCUUUAAGAAACU